rnacentral:rRNA from 1 species
UACGUAGGGUGCAAGCGUUAUCCGGAUUCACUGGGUUUAAAGGGUGCGUAGGAGGGCAGGUAAGUCAGUGGUGAAAUCUCCGAGCUUAACUUGGAAACUGCCGUUGAUACUAUCUGUCUUGAAUACCGUGGAGGUGAGCGGAAUAUGUCAUGUAGCGGUGAAAUGCUUAGAUAUGACAUAGAACACCAAUUGCGAAGGCAGCUCACUACACGAGCAUUGACUCUGAGGCACGAAAGCGUGGGGAUCAAACAGG